UACAGAGGUCUCAAGCGUUGUUCGGAUUCAUUGGGCGUAAAGGGUGCGUAGGUGGCGCCAUAAGUCAGGUGUGAAAUCUCGGGGCUCAACCCCGAAACUGCACUUGAUACUGUGGUGCUCGAGUACUGGAGAGGAGAUUGGAAUUUACGGUGUAGCAGUGAAAUGCGUAGAUAUCGUAAGGAAGACCAGUGGCGAAGGCGAGUCCCUGGGACAACUCCUGACACUGAUGCACGAAAGCUAGGGGGAGCAAA
rnacentral:rRNA from 1 species